AUAGUAUGUAUAGUAAUAGAGGCGUAUGGGACAAAAAAUAAAUCCACUUGGUUUCAGACUUGGUACAACCCAAGAUCAUCAUUCCCUUUGGUUUGCACAACCAAAUUUUUUUUUUUUUGAAGGUUACAAGAAGAUCAAAAAAUAUAGAAUUGUAUCAAGAAUUAUGUACAAAAAAAUUAUGAGAAUCUUUUCCGGUGUCGGUUAAUGGACCCAAUUGGUUCCAGGACACGAACCAGUCAACUCGGGUGAACCCGGUUUAAGGUCUAGGUCAAGACCAGACCACCACGUGGCGUGAUGUGAGUGGACGGACAAGGUGAGUAAGGAUAGCUGAUGUGUUAUGAUCUAGAGCGUCUGCGGGGAGUGCGGAUCCAAGGGCUGAGUAGGGGCCAACAAGCACUGAUGAGGGGACAAGAUGGGAGCGCCACAUGUCAACGCACUUAGUCGCCCCUGACACGUUCUGACGCGGCUCGAUCGUGGCCACUAAUGCUAGAGACCACGGACGGCUGAGAUGAGUGUGGCUAAUAGAGGCAUUCAAUGCUGCAAGACGUACUCACCACAUGUUGAGGUUCGAGAGGGGUCUUCAGGGAGUCUUUGGCGGGGUGCGUUUAAGCCGUUGAUGGAGCAUUAGAGCUACGUGGCCAUGAUCUGAGGUGUGGAUUCAAGUAAUGAUCGACAACUAGGGUUUAAUCGAGGGAGCAGGCAUCUCCACGUGGCACUGAGAGAGAGAGAGAGAAGUGCAGCAGGGAGCUUUGGCUUCAGGAGGUGAAAGCUAUUGGCUUUAAAUGCCUAGGGGACCUGAUCUGCCGCGUAUCAGGAGUGUGUGAGGCACGAAGGGGAUCAAUGACUACAAUGAACUCGUGGAACUCAAGUAAAUGCUAGGUGUCGCCUAACAGUUGGUAUGGCCAAUCGUAACCAUUGGUGAAGGUCAAUGAUCCAACAGUGAGGAUUGAGUUCGUCAUGGGACCAAUACUGGAGAGAUCGUAGCUAACCGGGGUGCGCAGAGUGAACAAUGGUGAAGAGGGGGUGAUGAUGCAUACGCAGAGGAGCGCGUGUGCUUAGGGGAAAGGCCGCAGGUGUUUAAAUUCUUGAGGGUGACUCUGCCAUAUGUCCGGGGCUGAGGGUGCAUGCGAGAUGGCCUUUGAUCUGAGCCAUCGAUGGAGCGUUUGAUCCAAUGGUGGCCAUGAAUAGGGCGGUCUGGUGCAUUUGGUGUUAGCAGGCGAAAUGGCUGCGUGUUGAUCCCUAAGUGGGGCACGCACAGGGGCAUCAUUAUGGGGGAGCAGGUGGCAUUAAUUGCUUUGAACACCAGGCGAUCUCAGCCGUUGAUGAGGAUUAGAGAUCCAAUGACUACGGGGGAAUCUCAUGCGCAACCUUGAUCUAAUGGACUCAAACUUCGCCACGUGUCUACAUCCUUGGGCUCGAGAGCUUAACUUAUUUAAGCUCAAAAAAAUCAUCUUUCUCAUUUUUCUAUUUUCCCUGCAAACCCUCUCUAUUCCUCUCCUCUCUCGCGCCUUCCCCGCGAACCAGUCCCGGAAACCUUAGGGUUUCUGUGUAAACUCCCUGCUGCUCCUUUGGAGGCUUGGCUCACUUGAAGAGAUGCCUUACUCCCUCUUCAUCCUCUCUAUCUCCCUUCUCUCAGUUUCUCUCCUCUUUCACACUACUUCUCUUUCUUAUCUCUUCUUUGGAUCUCUCUUCUCUCUGUUUUCCCCUCUCGUUCUACUUCUCUUUCUUAUCUCCUCUUUGGAUCUCUAUUUGCAGGUUUGUAGGAUGGAUUUGAGUGGGUUUCAGAUCAAAGUUUCGGUUACUCCCUCCUAAAGUUGAUGUCGAACUCAAUUCCUAGCAUGCUCAUUUUGAGAUGGUCGCGAGAGGGAGAAUUUGAAAAAGAAGCUCAUACAGUGACCUCCUUUGUGGACACGAGCUAAGUGAUCCUAUGCCUCUCUUUUUCUUUCAUUUUCUUGUGUGUGAUGUGUGCAAUACUAAUUGAAUGUUGAUUGUUUGAUGCUUGUGAUCUGGGUUUUGCUGUAGUUUUGGUUAGAAUUUAGCUUGUAGGGUAGGGUUGGAUCAUAGGAGUGAGGCCGAAGACGAGUCAACUCGUCUUCGACUUGGUGAGUCGGGCGUGUCUAACCAGGGUUGACUCGUGCGAGUUAAGCUGGAUGAAUUUUGUGAACUCAUGCAUCCAUGGGUGAGCCACAUGGGCUCUACCACGUGUGCAAGUCACGUGUAGGCCUUAAGUGGAUUGGGCUCGAGCAUUUUAGAGAGUGAGUUUGGGCCUAGGCGAGUUGGCUUUUGAAAUGGGCCAAAGUUUAUAAAAUAGGCCAGCCCAACAAGAUUUUAAAAAUAGGGCCUCUUGAGAUUUUAAAAAUGGGUCGGCCCUAUUUGAAAUUUCAAAACAGGGCCCCUAGUGGUUUUAAAAAAGGGCUGAGCCAAUAAGAUUUUAAAAUAGGGCCGCUUGAGACUUUAAAAAUGGGCCAACCCAAUUUGAAUUUUCAAAAUAAGACCUCUAGUGGUUUUAAAAACGGGCCGAUCCAAUAAGAUUUCAAAACAAGGCCUCUUGAGACUUUUAAAAAGGGCUAGCCUAGAUUAACCUUUGGGUUUUUAAAUUAAAAAGGGUUUGAGUUCAAGGCUUAGACCUGGAAUGAAAGCGAAUGUUCGACAUUUUUCCUCUUCUUUCUUUCUCCUUCGGUCUUCUUUUCCAACUUUGUGUGUGUCUGUGCUCUGGCUUAGCGCUCUGAACUCUUCUCCCUCUGCUUAGUGUGCUCUAAAUUCUUCAAAGUUUUAUCCUCUGCUCCCUGCACUAAGAAGUGUAGAGCUUCCACCUAUUCUCACCCCUCCCUUUUGUCCUCUUCUUCGGCAGAGUCUCUCUCUACUCUCUAACUUUCUCUCUCUCCUAAUUCUCAUAGGGUUUCUGUAUGCCUUCUCUCUCUAUUUUCACACAGUAAUUUUGUGCUUCCCUCUUUCUAAAAUGGUAGAACCUCCCCUCCUUUUCUGAAUUUCUCCUCACUUCUCUCCAUUUUAACGAGGCUUCUCUACUCUCUCUAGGGUCCCCUGCUAUAGUGCCCGGACUCCCUAUUUAUAGGGAGUCCAAAGGGUGCUUUUGGUGCCAAUUCACUACUCCUCUAACCAAUUUCCCCCAUAACAAAAGGAAUAUUACUUUCCAGGUGUCCUCCUCUCCUGGCACGCGUGAGUGUCCAUUUCUUCUCUUUUUGGAAUUUUUCUAACCAACUCAUUCCUUUGGUGCGUAGGUGGCUUUUGCUAGGUGUCCUACUAGGACUUGCGGGCUUUCUUGAGGGCUUUUAGGUGGUGGUCUCAGACUGGAGGCCCAGGUAAUUGGAGUGGCCAGAUGGCAGCAUGGGAAUGGCGGGCUUUUGUUUUUCUGUUCCUGGGUUUUCUGUAUUUUAUUUAUUUUUUAUUUAUUUCUUGUAUGCUGAUGUAUGUACGCCCAAAUUUUAUGUCCUGCAACAAUAGUUUGUACAACUUAUUUUCCCGGUAUAGUUUCCAUUUUCUUGUA